GUGCCCACUUUGUCAGUACAUAUACUAAAACUGGAACAAGACAGAGAUUAGCAAGCUCCCUGAACAAGGAAGACACGAAAACUGAAGAUUGUUCCAUAUUUUUU